rnacentral:rRNA from 1 species
GACAGAGGCGGCGGGCGUUGUUCGGAAUCAUUGGGCUAAAAGCGCGUGUAGGCGGCCACGUAAGUGUCUUGUGAAAUCCCACGGCUUAACCGUGGAAUGGCUGGGCAAACUGCGUGGCUUGAGGCCGGUAGCGGCGCCUGGAUCUCUAGGUGGAGCGGUGAAAUGCGUAGAUAUCUAGAGGAACGCCCGGGGCGACAGCGGGGCGCUGUGCCGGUUCUGACGCUGAGACUCGAAAGCGUGGGUAGCAAACAGU